ACAGUCUGAUGAACAUUCUAGAGUAUGUGGACACAGAUGGACGCUCUGGCCACAGGCCCGCCAGUGAUUUAGUUCCUGAUCCUUCCAAAAUCUGGUCCCCCUGUUGUCUGCUUUCUCUUGAGAUGGCUUGCCACACCUAGGGCCAAACUCUAUCUUCCAGCAGCUGCAGAGGUCAAAAGCCUUGCAAAUGGAAGUCACAGAGGGGACGUGAAGGAAGAAAUGAAUACUGCAGACCAGGGGAGACCUGCCUGGGAUGGGAUCUAAGGGGACAUUACUACAUCUGCUGAGGGGGUCAUACCUUUGCCGACUGAAAAGUCACUGGUCAGUUCCUACACCCCAGGACUUCUGUGGCCCAGCUCUGCAUAUUAUCAGCGUAGGAUACUAACUAGCAGUGGCACCUAGGUGCUUGCUUGGUGGAUGAGCUUCAGAGUUCAGCUUGUUGACCUGGGACUCGGCGAUGUCCGCCCUCUCCUCCGCCUCAUCCAGCUCGUGCUGCACCUUGCGGAACUUGGACAGCCUCCAGCUCAUUCUCCAGCUCCCGGACCCGGGCCUCCAGCUUCUGCAGCUGCUUCUUGCCGCCCUUGAGGGCGAUCUGCUCUGCCUCGUCCAGACGGUGCUGCAAGUCCUUGAUGGUCUGCUCCAUGUUCUUCUUCAUGCGCUCCAGGUCGUCAUUGGCACGGACAGCAUCAUCCAGCUGGAUUUGAGUGUCCUGAGGAUCAGAAAAAUGAGUGGCCUCAUUGCGGCUGCGUGUCUCCGCAUCCAGGGAGGUCUGCAGGGAGUCCACCAUCCGCAGGUGGUUGCGCUUGGCCUGCUCCAUCUCCUCAUCCUUCUCUGCCAGCUUCCUUUCAAUCUCUGCCUUGAUCUGGUUGAACUCUAGCUGGGCGCGGAGGAUCUUGCCCUCCUCGUGCUCCAGGGAGGCCUGGAAAGGAUAUAGAUUUUGCAGGCAUAUAGUCAGAGACCAGGGUGGAAGCAAGGGUGUGUCUAAAAACCAUGGCACAGAGAGCAUUUGGGGAUGGUAUACAUGACUCAGUAGGAGAUGCAGUGGAAGGAAAUGAGAAAGAGUGUGCACAAGAGAAAUGAAAGCAAGCUGAAGAGAAGGGGAUGCAGACUCCCAGGGGGGCGGAGGGAGUCAGCUUUGAAGACAAAGAGGAAAAUGAAAAGUGUUGCCAAGGAAACAGAGGCAAUGAAGCAGAGAGUAAAGGAACAAAAAAAAAAAAACCACCACACACAGGCAGGCAGAGGUGGAAAGUGGAAUGAGCUGAAAUAGGAGUCUUUCUAAGGUACAGUAAAUAAAAUGUUUGUGUGAAGGAA
rnacentral:lncRNA from 1 species